CCAAUAGCGUAUAUUAAAGUUGUUGCAGUUAAAAAGCUCGUAGUUGAAUUUCGGGGUUAGUAAGUUGGUUGUGCCACUGGUAUGUACUGGCUUUACUGAUUCCUCCUUCUUGUAGAACCGUAAUGCCAUUAAGUUGGUGUUGCGGGGAAACAGGACUGUUACUUUGAAAAAAUUAGAGUGUUUAAAGCAAGUUAACGCUUGAAUACAUUAGCAUGGAAUAAUGAAAUAGGACGUUCGACCCUAUUUUGUUGGUUUCUAGGAUUGACGUAAUGAUUAAUCGGAAUAGUUGGGGGCAUUAGUAUUCAAUUGUCAGAGGUGAAAUUCUUGGAUUUAUUGAAGACUAACUACUGCGAAAGCAUUUGCCAAGGAUGUUUUCAUUAAUCAAGAACGAAAGUUAGGGGAUCGAAGACGAUCAGAUACCGUCGUAGUCUUAACCAUAAACUAUGCCGACUAGGGAUCGGAUGAUGUUAAUUUUAUAAUGACUCAUUCGGCGCCUUACG
rnacentral:misc_RNA from 1 species